AAUACUUAGUGGCAGACGGGUGAGUAACAUGUGGGUAUCUUCCCUUUGGUGAGGAAUAACACGAGGAAACUUGUGCUAAUACCUCAUAAGUCUUUACGGAGAAAGCUUUAUGCGCCAAUGGAUGAGCCCGCACUUGAUUAGUUUGUUGGUGGGGUAAUGGCCUACCAAGACUUUGAUCAAUAGCUGAUUUGAGAGGAUGAUCAGCCACAUUGGGACUGAGACACGGCCCAAACUCCUACGGGAGGCAGCAGUAGGGAAUCUUGCACAAUGGAGGAAACUCUGAUGCAGCGAUGCCGCGUGAGUGAAGAAGGCCUUUGGGUUGUAAAGCUCUUUCGUCGGGGAAGAAAAUGACUGUACCCGAAUAAGAAGGUCCGGCUAACUUCGUGCCAGCAGCCGCGGUAAUACGAAGGGACCUAGCGUAGUUCGGAAUUACUGGGCUUAAAGAGUUCGUAGGUGGUUAAAAAAGUUGGUGGUGAAAUCCCAGAGCUUAACUCUGGAACUGCCAUCAAAACUUUUUAGCUAGAGUAUGAUAGAGGAAAGUAGAAUUUCUAGUGUAGAGGUGAAAUUCGUAGAUAUUAGAAAGAAUACCAAUUGCGAAGGCAGCUUUCUGGAUCAUUACUGACACUGAGGAACGAAAGCAUGGGUAGCGAAGAGGAUUAGAUACCCUCGUAGUCCAUGCCGUAAACGAUGUGUGUUAGAUGUUGGAAAUUUAUUUUCAGUAUCGCAGCGAAAGCAAUAAACACACCGCCUGGGGAGUACGACCGCAAGGUUAAAACUCAAAUGAAUUGACGGGGACCCGCACAAGUAGUGGAGCAUGUGGUUUAAUUCGAAGAUACGCGCAGAACCUUACCAACACUUGACAUGUUCGUUUCGACUCUAAGAGAUUAGAGUUUUCGGUUCGGCCGGACGAAACACAGGUGCUGCAUGGCUGUCGUCAGCUCGUGUCGUGAGAUGUUGGGUUAAGUCCCGCAACGAGCGCAACCCUUACUUUUAGUUGCCAUCAUUUAGUUGGGCACUCUGAAAGAACUGCCAGUGAUAAGCUGGAGGAAGGUGGGGAUGACGUCAAGUCCUCAUGGCCCUUAUGUGUUGGGCUACACACGUGCUACAAUGGCAUUUACAAUAGGAAGCAAGACGGCGACGUCAAGCAAAUCCUAAAAAAAUGCCUCAGUUCGGAUUGCACUCUGCAACUCGAGUACAUGAAGCUGGAAUUACUAGUAAUCGUGGAUCAGCGUGCCACGGUGAAUACGUUCCCGGGUCUUGUACACACCGCCCGUCACACCAUGGGAGUUGGUUCUACCUUAAGGCAAGGUUUAAAACCUUUGACCACGGU
rnacentral:rRNA from 1 species